UAACGCGUGAGUAACCUGCCUCUAAGAGGGGAAUAACAUUCUGAAAAGAAUGCUAAUACCGCAUAACAUAUAUUUAUCGCAUGGUAGAUAUAUCAAAGAUUUAUCGCUUAGAGAUGGACUCGCGUCCGAUUAGUUAGUUGGUGAGGUAACGGCUCACCAAGACCGCGAUCGGUAGCCGGACUGAGAGGUUGAACGGCCACAUUGGGACUGAGACACGGCCCAA
rnacentral:rRNA from 1 species